GCGGAAGUGGCGGAACGGCAGACGCGCUGGUUUUAGGCACCAGUUCCAUCGGAGUGAGGGUUCAAGUCCCUUCUUCCGCA
rnacentral:tRNA from 2 species